rnacentral:lncRNA from 1 species
CUCCAUCUCCAGGCUGCCAUGGGUCAUCUUAUUUGUUCUUGUCCAUCUUUCGGGCAAUGAAACAUUCUUUAUUUACUUUAUUUUUGGGUAUCACUUUAGAUAUGAUCUUUGUUAGUAGUUCUUGUACGAUGACUUUCGGGUCUUGGAAAUUUUAGUAAGUAGUUUGUUUGACUUCCGCAUUAAUAAUAAUUAGUCAUGAAUUAUUGUUAUUAUGUUGAAUUUAUAUUAAUAUUACCUUAAUAUUGACUAAGUGAUUGGGUAAUGAUUUGAUUUAGAUGGUUCUCCUACAGGAAGAUUAGUGUGGGUGCCAUUCGUGGCCAUUUGGGUCGUGACAAAGUUGGUAUCAGAGUUCUAGGUUCAUCGAUCUCAUCGUACAAAAAUAUUUCUAGUAGAGUCUUACAGAAUUACAGAAUAGCACAGAGACGUCUGUAAUUUUUUUCGAGAGGCUAUAGGACACUAGGAAAAUUCAAAUUCUUCUUUCUGACGUGCUAUUUCUUGAAUUCAAUUGGUAUUUGGCGAUUUCAAUUGGUAUCUGUUAAUAAGAGCAGUGUUAAGUAGAGUUCUGUAGAUUGGUGUGUAGAGCCCCACACCCAAUCUUCGUAAGGCUACUAGAUUGAAUUCAAUUGGUAUCUAGACAUCCAAUUGGUAUCUUAAUAAUUUUGAAUAAAAAUCUAGAAGAUUUUAAUUGGUAUUUGUUAAUAAGUUCUAAAAGUUAUUGUUAAUAGGUAAAGAUUUGUGAAAGUUGUGAACUUAUUGAUUUCUUGUGUUUGAUAUUUGGCUAAACUUUUAUUGCUAGAUUUUUGUCAUUGUUGUGAAUUAUUUUUGUUAAGUGAUGAAAAUUGACUAAGUUAUUUUUGUUGAUAAAUGUGAUGGAUUAUUUGAUUUCUUGUUAUUGUGAAACUAGAAAUUCUAUAGUGCUUACUUAUUUUUGUUACUAUUAUACUGAUAAGAUUGAUGGUAUGAGAAUUGAGAGGAUGAUAUGAGAAUAUGAUGUCAGAAAAAAAUGGUGAAAAGUGACAUGAAUAAAAGACUAAGGUGAUAUGUAUUUUUCGUAAUGAGAGGUUCUUGUUAAUGAUGUUGUGGAUGGACCCUUGAGUAUUUUGAUUAUUUGAUAUUAUUUAGGGAUCCUUGUGUGGUUCGACCAUUGAGACUGUAUUUAGAAUUUUUGUGCAGUUCUAGUAUUGAAAUUAUAAUGAGUUCCUUGUGUGAACUAGCUAUGUGACAUUAUUUUUGAGUUCCUUCUGUGAACGAAUUCUUAAUGCUUGACAAAAAAAUAAGUUUUAAAUAAAAGUGACCAAAACUAGUAGAGGUUGUUGAUACCUAUAGAAUUUGAUCGAUGACUUGUCUGGAAUGUGAUAUUGGUGAUAAGAUCGUCAAUGACCUAUAACCAAUUUAUUUUGUUUGGCCUUCAUAGCACAUCUUUGGGACACUUCCGCAGAGGUCUCAUCUAUUGAGUCAAUUUCUGUGGUGUGUGAGUUCCAAGAGGUUUUUCCUGAGGAUUUUCCUGGUAUGCUACCAGCUGUGACAUUGGUUUCUAUAUUGAUCAAGAGCUAGGUAAUCGUCCUAUUUCUAUUGCCCUAUACGAUGGCUCCGGCUGAGUUGAGGGAGCUAAAGGCUUAGUUGCAAGAUUUGUUGAGUAAGAGUUUUAUCCAUCCAACUGCCUCUCCAUGUGGUGCUCCUGUCUUGUUUAUGAAAAGAAGGAUAGUAGUCUUUGUAUGUGCAUAGACUAUAGGCAGUUGAACAAGUUACAUUCUGUAAUAAGUAUCCUUUGCCCCGUAUCAAUGAUUUAUUUGAUCAGUUGCAGGGUGCAUCCGUAUUUUUUAAGAUUGAUUUGAACUUCGGGUAUCAUCUGCUUAAGAUUCGGCCUGACUAUAUUCCUAAAACUACUUUUCGAAUAUGGUAUGGGUACUAUGAGUUUCUUGUGAUUAUCGUUCGGGCUGACCAAUGCCCCAAUUGCUUUUAUGAGUUUGAUGAAUGGGAUAUUUAAAUUCUACUAAAAUUCUUUCGUGAUUGUAUUUAUUGAUGAUAUUCUAAUUUAUUUUAAGAGUAAAAAGGAACAUUAGAAUCACUUAGGAUUAUUUUGGAUUUUUUUAGAAGAAGAGAAAAAGUUUGAUGCGAAGUUUUUUAAGUAUGGGUUCUGGUAGGCUUCUGUCUACUUUUCUUCAUAGAUAGUGUGUGAUAUAUGUUGUGUGUGGAUACGAAUAUUAGGCUUGAUUAUGAGUAGGAUGACUUGGCCUUGAUUGUUGAUGUUUGGAGAUUAGACGCGGGCUUGGGACCAGUAAAGUGGCAUGUUUAUACCGCUUUUGAAUCCCAUUGGUUAUCCUCUCUAGUUUAGAUUAGUUGUAGUGUGGUAUGAUAGAAAUCUAUGUUUGGGAUAUGGUUUUAGUAUUUGAAGCAUGAUUUGUAUAUGUAGCCUUAUUGGGCUAGUGUGGUAGCCUUGAACCCAUAAGUUUGGUAGAGUUGACUUGAGUACGCUUGUUUCUAGUCGAAGUUGCUAUCUUAAGCUUGAAUAUGACUUACUUGACAACCAGAAGAUGAACUAGAUACCUUAGUCUAGUUUGGAGCAUAGUGUGCCUAAUUAUGAAAAUUGAGGAUUAGAAGUAGGAUCGUCUGGAUCACUUAGACCUAAACUUGUGUAAAGUCUUGUGGACUUAGUUGCGGAUGCUAGACAUAGAUAAAGCUAGUAAACCUUAGAAUAAGGUUACUUCGUAACUUGGUAACUUGUAUUGAUGUUUUCAGAUUGUGGCUUUUGAGUUAUAGUUAUAAUACUUCUUGUAGAAGUGAUCUUGGGCAUUUAAAGAUGAUAUUGCUCCUAUAUACGUUAAGUGGCCUAUAGAGAUGCUAUUUCCUCUUAGAUAUGCAAAUUUUCCUAGAGAUGUGAUAUUCCUCCUAGUUAUGAUGUAUGAACUAUCGAUAUAAGAUAUCCUAUAGAUGAUUACAUGCCUAUCUAUAUUUUGUCUCCUAUAUGUGAGAUGAUUAGAGAUAUGCUACGACUUAUAAAUAUGAUUAUCGAUAUGAGUUUCGGAUAUGUAUAUGGGCCUAAGGCCGUGAUUAUGAUGUUGUGACUAUUCAGGAUAAAUUAAUGAGUCAAGAGCUGUGUUAUGAUAAUGAUUGAAUAUCCGAGAAGUGUUUAUCAGUGUAAAGGAUACGAUUACAGUUUAUAAAUAUGUAUAUGUUUGUAUACACAUCUCUCUGGUAUGGGACGGAGGAAGAUGCGGCAUGUUGCUUACGACUUUAUUGAUUGGAUACUGGUGAUGGCUAGGAAUCUAAUGUAUUAGUUAACGAAUCUUGCUUAGUUUAAACGUGAUAGAUAACGAUGGUUAAUGCGUGACCUAUGGUGAGGUAGGGUCUAGUAUAGGUGAAGAUUAGUUUGUAUUACUGACUAUGUUUGUGAUGUCGAUUAGUCGAUAAAUGAGGAAUUGUGUGUUAAUGAGGCUAGAUAACAAGAGAUGUUGGUCAUAAGAGGUGACUAGUUAAUAACUAUUAAUAGUUGCUAAAUGGUUAACUAAUAAAUAGUUAAGCAAGGAUUAGUUAAUAAAUGAUGGUUAUAUAAUGCAUGGUGUCUAUAUCUAAAAGAUGGUUAGGUGAUAAGUAGUAAUGUAUUAUUUAGUAAUGAUUAACGGAUAUAGGAUUAUUAGUUGAUAAUAAUGAAUGGUGGAUAAAUGACAGUUUUGGUCUAGUGAUGAACCUUGACUAGAUGUUAGAUGUUGUCUAUAAAUAGUGGUUAGUUGCUAUUCUAGAAAUAAGGAUUAUGUUUAGGCUAAUAACUAGAGGUUAUGUGAUUAUUAGUGAACUACUGAUUUUAUUAUAAUAAGUGCUAGUUGGCUAAUAAUGAGUAAUUGGGAAGUAUUGACUAGAUAGGUAUUCUAUGGUGAUGACUAUUUUUUUUUGUAUGAGUAUCUUUGUGUGAUGAUAUUGAUACCCGGUAAGGCUAGAGGAUACUAUUGUGAUGAUGUUGAUACCCAGCGAGGCUGGAGAAUAUAUUUAUGAUAUGUUGAUACCCGGUAAGUCUGGAGGAUACUAAUGAUAAUGUGUUGAUAUCCGGCAAGGUCGGAGGUUGAUUACGAUGGUAAUGGUUUGAUGAGGACAGUUAUGAUAAGUUGUGAUAUUGAUUGUGUACUUUGCAUUCAUUCCUGCAUGCGCAUCACUAUCACCAGUAUGCACCUAUAUUUAUCAAUCGGUAAAGGACGGUUGCAUAUAUAUGGGUGAAAAAUAUGCCUUGUGUGGUUGUAUACUAAUUGAACCUUCUGAGUCUGGGCGGUAGGGGUGAGCGUAGGCUCGGCUAGGUAUUUGAUUGUCCAUAAGUUGAGGACUAAGGAGAUUGUGACUGUGAAGGUCCAGUGGAAGAAUCAUCCUAUUAAGGAGGCCACUUGGGAGACCGAAGAAGACAUGAGUAGCAAGUAUCCACAUCUUUUUAUUGAUUUAGGUAAUUUCUUAUUUCCCUUAUUGUCUGUUGUUUUCCCGUUCGGGGACGAACGCUUGUUUAAUUGGUAUCUGAUGUAACGACCCUCCCGGUCAUUUGUGGAAUUUUUUCAUCUUCUCUAUUUUAGCGUUCUCCAUAGUUGGUACAUAAUUUAUGACUUAUGGUAAUGAGUAGUACCAAUUCUUGAGGUGUUUUGGGUAUUUUUAAUAAUUAUUUAAUUAAUGGAUUAAAAUAACAAUUUAUUUACUUAUGUGGCCAACACAAAAAUAAGUUUAAGUGGAAGAGUUUAUUAUAUUAGAGAAUAAUAUCGGAGGUUUCCAACUAGGGCAGAUGAACACAACAGUUAGCAACAAAGCAAUUUUUUUCACCCGCAACUUUAAAUACUAUCUCUCUUGAUUGAGUUUCAGGUAGAGUUGCUUUGUUAAAAUUGAUUUCGUACUUGUCUAUCUAUUGUUACUAGUUACGCGAGGAUGGGUGGAAAAAAAUUAGGCAAGAAACGUUUUCUUUAGUGAGUUAUUAUUACCAUGAGAUUUUAAAUUAUUAAAUGUAUUAACAUUAGAUAGAUCAAGUAAUGGUGUGAUUGGGCCCUAAUGAUGAUGAGAAUGGUAGCCUUAGUUCAUGAAAAGUGGCGUACAAGUGGGUUAAAUAUUAGGUAGUAAACUUCAUUUAAGUAAUGAUUGGAUAAUCAUGUUGAAGGGAGGUUAUAUAUGAUGAUUUUCUUUAUAAUUGAAACACCUGCAAUAUCUUAGUUUGAGGCAUACUGUUAGAUGGAAGGUUAGUUGAAUGAUAUAUGUUGUAGUGUUUGGUAUCUUGUUAAAAGAAUAAGCUUUUCUGCGCUAGUGGUUGCAUGGUUUCCUGAUUCUUAUGCUAUCUCCAUUUUUUUUGAUGAUUUUCAAUUCUUUUGUGAUCUGGUUCUCUUCUUAGGUUGUUAUGUGAGAAUGUACAUAGAUAGUAGCAGCAGAAAGUGAUGCUAAUCUUAUUUAUGUCGUUACUAGUUCCUAAAAAGACGCUAUACGAUUUUGCUUCAGAAAACGCGAGUGUUCCAUAGAAUUUUAUCCUUUGUACUUAUAUUUUAAUAAAUUCAGGUUUUAAAGGCUAGAAAUUUUAGAGUAAGAAUAUUUGGGGAUCGAAUAAUGACCCAUUUAUUUGAAAUUUGACGCACUAAUUUAUACUCUUAUGAAAAUUAUAUAUAUAUAUAUUGAAACAGAUUUUGAACAUUUCAAAACUUUAAGAAAGGGCAGGACGCUUACGAGCUAGCUACAUUCGAAUUCUUCGAUAGAGGUAGAUUACGGUUUAAUUGGAGUUUAGACUCACUUAAUUGUGUGUAUGCUCCUAAAUUGUAUACUUGUGGAUUGGUAUUCGGACAUGCUUGAAAUUGUUGAUGUUUGGAUUGUUGAUUCGUGUAUAAUGUAGAAAAUUGACUUGAUGGAAUUGUCUUAUGACUUUGAGUGUACAUGUAAACUCGGUACAUUGUGUGGCAUGCUGUGAGGUUGUGUAAAUUGAUAUUGAUAAUACUUGGUUAUGUUUAUGUUGGAUCGGGUACCACGCCGGUACAUUUAUAUUUAUGUUGGAUCAGGUACCACGCUGGUACGUUUAUAUUCAUGUUGGAUCGGGUACCUCGCCGUUCGUUUAUAUUUAUAUUGGAUCGGGUACCACGCUGGUACGUUUAUAUUCAUGUUGGAUCGGGUACCAUACCUGUACAUUUAUAUUCAUGUUGGAUCGGGUACCACACUGAUACGUUUAUAUUUAUGUUGGAUUGGGUACCACGCCGGUACAUUUAGAUUUAUGUUGGAUCGGGUACCACGCCGGUACAUUUACAUUUAUGUUGGAUUGGGUACCAAGCUGGUACGGUACAUGAACAUAGAUUGUUCUCUGCAGGUCAUGACUAUUUGGGCAAAAAUAAGUCCCAUAGCAUGUGCGUACAUAUUUGUGUUAUUUUUGUGGAUGUUUAUAGUAUGGUUGAUACUCUUGAUGGUUAUGUGGCUUGUUUGUGAACACUGUUUGACCUGUUGUUGCUGUAUUGCUGAUUCAUUGAAUAUUUGUUGUGUGACGAUGCAUGUCUACUUAUUUUUUGAUUUAUGUUGUGUACAUGUUAUUAAAGUGAGUUGUCCUAUGAUACCUACUAGUACAUAGUGGUUUGUACUGAUACUACCCUUUACUCUUCUUUUGUUGAGUGCAGAAAGUGUUCUAGGCUUAGACAUGACCUUACCUCUAGAGUUUGAUAGCAUAUCUUGAUCCAAGGGUGAGCACUCCGUCUCUAGGCUGUCAUGGGUCAUCUUAUUUGUUCUUGUCCAUCUUUCGGGCAAUGAAACAUUCUUUAUUUACUUUAUUGUUGGAUAUCACUUUAGAUAUGAUCUUUGUUAGUAGUUCUUGUACGAUGACUUUUGGGUCUUGAAAAUUUUAGUAAGUAGUUUGUUUGAUUUUCGCAAUAAUAAUAAUUAUUCUUGGAUUAUUGUUAUUAUGUUGAUUUUAUAAUAAUAUCACCUUAAUAUUGACUAAGUGAUU